rnacentral:rRNA from 1 species
ACUGACAGCUGGCGGUAGUCUUAACACAUGCACGUCGAGAGAGCGUCGGUCGGUUGAGUAAUGUCUGGGAAACCGGCUGAUGGAGGGGGAUAACCACUGGCCACGGUAGCUAAUACCGCAUACUAUCAUAACGGCCCAGAUGGGAUUAGCUUGUAGGUGGGGUAAUGGCUCAUCGAGGCGACGAUCCCUAGCUGGUCUGAGAGGAUGACCAGCCACACUGGGACUGAGACACGGUCCAGACUCCUACGGGAGGCAGCAGUGGGGAAUAUUGCACAAAUGGCGCAAGCCUGAUGCAGCCAUGCCGCGUGUGUGAAGAAGGCCUUCGGGUUGUAAAGCACUUUCAGCGGGGAGGCGUUACUCGCAGAAGAAGCACCGGCUAACUCCGUGCCAGCCGCCGCGGUAAUAC